UGGUGGAGUGAUUUGUCUGGUUAAUUCCGUUAACGAACGAGACCUCGACCUGCUAAAUAGUUUGGUGAAUUCUCCGGGAUUCAUUUACAACUUCUUAGAGGGACUAUUGGUGAUUUAGCCAAUGGAAGUUCGAGGCAAUAACA
rnacentral:rRNA from 1 species